CGACCCAGCAUGGGCAACUUCAAGUCCAGGAAGCCCAAGUCCAUCUUCAAAGCGGAGAGCGGGAGGAGCCACGGAGAAAGUCAGGAGACAGAGCAUGUGGUAUCCAGCCAGUCAGAGUGUCAGGUGAAAGCAGGAACACCAGCUCAUGAGAGUCCACAAAACAAUGCCUUCAAGUGCCAAGAAACAAUGCGACUUCAACCAAGCAUGGCAGGUGCAGAUUCUGUGCUGACCCAAGUGUCUUCCAGUGACCUUAGCCCUGACAUAGCCCCAGGAUGGCCUCUCUAGCCUGCUAGACCUGCUGGAGACAGCCCUGGACCCAGGGCAAGGAUGUGGGUGGAAAGCAGCUGCAGAAAGGUUGGCAUGACAUUCUGAUGGGAGCCUGGCAUUGCAGCUGUCUAUGGAAAGUCUCUUCUGGAAAUAAACAGAAGAAAGAAUUC
rnacentral:sRNA from 1 species